rnacentral:rRNA from 1 species
UAGGGAAUCUUCCGCAAUGGACGCAAGUCUGACGGAGCAACGCCGCGUGAGUGAAGAAGGAUUUCGGUUCGUAAAACUCUGUUGUUAGAGAAGAACAGCGCAUAGAGUAACUGUUAUGCGUGUGACGGUAUCUAACCAGAAAGCCACGGCUAACUACGUGCCAGCAGCCGCGGUAAUACGUAGGUGGCAAGCGUUGUCCGGAUUUAUUGGGCGUAAAGCGCGCGCAGGCGGACUAGCCAGUCAGUCUUAAAAGUUCGGGGCUUAACCCCGUGAUGGGAUUGAAACUACUAGUCUAGAGUAUCGGAGAGGAAAGUGGAAUUCCUAGUGUAACGAUGAAAUGCGUAGAUAUUAGGAAGAACACCAGUGGCGAAGGCGACUUUCUGGACGAACACUGACGCUGAGGCGCGAAAGCCAGGGGAGCGAACGGG